GCAUGCUAGCAGAACUUCUGAUGAGGAUUUUCUCAUUUUUCUCCCCUCUUCCAAGUCAAAAUGAGCUCUACAAGAAGAUGUCCACAAAUUCCAGGUGAAUAUUCCUACACUGCAGGUUUUAUCCAUUGCUGAAACUUGGAAAAAAGAUAUCCACAUGGCUGGGUUAAGCAUCACAGAAGAGUUUAAGAAGUUGAGGUUUUUGCAUCAAAGGAGAUCACCCUGAAUAUCAUUGGAGGCAACCUGAACAAGAUACAGAAGAAAUAUAGUACAGGGUGCAUAUAUACUGCUCUGGAUCACAUGACCAGGAGGAAGAAGAGAGAGGCCUCAUAAUGGAACUGUCAGGAACAUUUUCAACCACUUUUCAGCUGUGCAGAACAGGGAUGCACUGGGGGAAAUAUUCAGGAUGUUUUUCUUCCCUGGUGAGAUUUGAUCUGUUUCAGUUUAGAUCUUUGUUUUGUCAGCUUCGUCUCUCUCACCAAAUUUGGCCCUGUUCAUGUUUUGGAAGGUUAUUAUGUUAAAGCAAAAGUGCUUUUAUAUCCCCACCCACCCCAGAUUCUACAGGGUUGGAAGAAGGACGAAGUGCCCAAAGUGGCAUUCAGAUGAUAAUUUUAAAUUUAACCAUUACAAUAUAUGCUGUGAUCUUUUUUAUAUGAAAUUCUGUACAAUUGCAGUUUAGAAUUCUGACAAAGAUGUUUGGGAGAAAACAUACAGACAAAUGUAAUGCAUUGCUUCCGGAGGGGGUAAAUAUUUUGAACUUGAACUAGGAAAACCCAGAUUUAGUCCCUACUUGAUCAUAGUAUUCACUUGCUGACUUUGAGAUGGUUAUUAGUUUCUCAAGCCAAUCUACCUCACAGAGUUAUUACUGAAAUAAAAUUAAGGAAGACUCGUAGGUGUGUUACGUUGAGUUCUCAGAGAUAAUAUGAGGAUACAAAUGAAAUUAUAAAACUAUAUAUAUGGGUCUGAACACAAAAAUGAGAUUUUUAUUGCUAUUGUUUAAUAUAUUUUUUCCUGUGCCUUCAAAUCAGUGCUAACUCUUGGUAACUGUCUGGAAUAGUCCCUGAAGUUUUCUUAGCAAGAUUUCAGAAGUGAUUUGCAGUUUUAUCAGGGGUAAAAUGCUUCUGGUUCAGACAGGAUGGCUCGAUCCG